rnacentral:rRNA from 1 species
UACGAGGGGGGCAAGCGUUGUUCGGAAUUACUGGGCGUAAAGGGCUCGUAGGCGGCCAACUAAGUCAGACGUGAAAUCCCUCGGCUUAACCGGGGAACUGCGUCUGAUACUGGAUGGCUUGAAUCCGGGAGAGGGAUGCGGAAUUCCAGGUGUAGCGGUGAAAUGCGUAGAUAUCUGGAGGAACACCGGUGGCGAAGGCGGCAUCCUGGACCGACACUGACGCUGAGGAGCGAAAGCCAGGGGAGCAAACGGG